CCGCAUUUCUACCAAGUAUGGCAUGCCAAGUUAACAUUUUAGACAAUCAUUUAAUAUAAAUACAGAUGGCGAUGGCGAAAUAAACUACAGAACUGUGAAUAAUAACAUACAUUGUAAUUUAUAUGACAUAAGAAGACACCAUGUGACAAUUUUAAUUAGUUAAUUGUGUAAGUAUAACAAUAAUCAAGAUUAAACAAAACUAUCCAACACUUUUAUGAUCUAAAUUAUGUAUCUUGAGUUAUGUUUUGGUCAUGGUGUUGAAUUUAUUGGACUUAUUAUUUGUAAUUGUCACCCGCCUUCCCGUUGUUCUAUCUUGACGAAAACGCGUGCUACUUCGUAUUUCUUGUUUGCAAAUCAUUCUCUACAUAUCUUUUCAUUAAAAUUUGCAUGCAUAAAGUAUUUGUCACUGGACGGCCAGGAAACAACAUUCAAUCAAUCAUAUGUCUUCUUAAAUAACAG
rnacentral:lncRNA from 1 species